CUCAUUUCAUUCUAGUGUCUUGUAGGAUACUUUCAUAUAACAGGCAAAACGCAUAAGAAUAUUUAAGCACAGUUACAGUGGUCUAUUUUCAGAUCCUUUUUCACCUUCACUGUAAACAGAUGAACAAAACUUCGGGAAAACUGACAGGAGAAACCGUUUGUUUCUAGUUCUCCACUAUCUUUAACACUCUUCCUCAGCGUUUGUUACCAUUGUUUAGUGCUUUUCUUUUACUCCAGCAAUUUCUGUAAUGUAAGUUAGAGUGUUUUGUUUCUGUUCCCAGGACUGGACAUUUUAAGACUGCUGGAUGUCAAGACCCAGAUGAUGCCAGGCGUUCUGGGAUGUGAUUAAGUGCCAUGAUGCUGCAAAAGCAGAGUUAAAGCUGCAUGGAAGAAAGGAAUCAUGCUUCUUUCACCCUGUGAGAUGUACUUGGGUGACCCAGUGGGAAGGAUUUAAGGCAUGUCUUCAGAAGGUCUAGGUCCCAAUCAGCACAGGAACUUGUUCUGGAAGGCAUCCAGAAAAACUGGGAAUAGAAUUCAUGACAGAUGUGUAGAAGUGAAGGAGAGGUAGACUGUACAGUGUCAGCAGUGAGAAUACACAGUGCCACCAUGAAAGCAUCCAUUGCCCAAAGGGUCGUAGAAGUUGUGACUAUAUCAAAACCUGCUUAUCAACUGAUGAUCUUCCUCUGUAUUGCCCGUCAAAUGGACUGUCAUGGAACCACUACAAGAAAUGUAUGGCUCCAUGGCUUGGCAAUGACAGUGGCGUGCAGGUGGGGACGAGGCUCUCAAGCUCCAUAAGAAAAAUGUAAGUUUUGCUGCAGCUGUACUAGCAACAUUUCACAGUCAUUUACAAAAUAUAAUCAAGGGCCACUACAAAUAAAAAAGGGUACACAUUGUAACA
rnacentral:lncRNA from 1 species